CUCAGGCAAGUUGUUCAGUUUGUUUGUUUUUUCCAUUUGUACAGGCCUUGAAUUAUUAAUACUGAUACUGUAUCAUUUUGGCUACAAAUUUUUUCCCUAAUAUUUGCCUUGUUAUUUUGGUUAGAGGCUUUUUUGUUUAACUUACAAAAGCUUUUAAUUUUUCUUCAAUCAAAUCUCCUCAUGUUUAUCUUUGUGAACUCUUCUAUCUCUCCAAAAUUUAAUCAACCUCAUUCAAUAAUUUAAUAAACUUUUUCUUCUGAUUUAAUAUUUGUGUUUUAUAGCAAUAUCCAGCAAUGAGGUGAAACAUUUAGGUUUUUUCUCAACUGUAACAUUCCAAACUCAUGAACUGAAUAUGACGUACAGUGAUUCCAUUUUUCAAUUAUUUAAUUUCUGGGAUAUCCUAUUGAAGUUAUUCAUGCCAAUUUACUCAUUUAACUAUUAUAAUAUUUUGUUUUAAUAUUUUUAGAGCUAUUUCUUACCAAUCUCCUACUCUCCUUCUUUGGAAUCCUGUUUUAUAUACCCCUCUUUGUUCUUCUUAAGUACUUUUACAUAUCCAAAAAGUAUUCCCUUACUGUUUUUACUACGUAUACUCACACUGUAAGUUAAUGUGAUAAGAACUGACAUUAACUGUAUUUACUCUCAUCUAGGAACAUAGGCUGUCUCCAUUUAUUCAAAACAAUUUUUAGCUUGCUGAAGUUCUUCCUAAUUCUUAUGUUUUUGGUUGCUAUUCUGUAUGUAAUCCAUUCUGGUUCAACUUAAUAGCCAAUUAGUUGGAAUAAAAAAUUCAGACUUAAUAAACAUUUAUGAGCCCCUACCAUGUAAUAGUCAAUUUUAUACUAAAUGUAUUAUACCCAUUUUAUAAAUAAGAACAUUGCUGAAGUGUCUUGCCCUAAGUCACACAACACAUAAAUUACAGAACCAAGAUUCAACCCCGUCUUUUUACUACAACUCGUCUCUCAAAGAUCCUCAAAAUUGCAGUUUUCUGUCCUUGUCCUCACAUUUCUUGCCAUCAUCCAUCCAUAAGUCAAGCAUGGCUAUUAUCAGUUGCCAUCUGAUUACAGAAAGCAUUAGAUCUUGUUCUUCUUGGGUCUAAGCAUAUAACCUGGUCAAAAUGCUGUGUCUGCAGCCAUCUGCCUUAAUAAGGUAACUAGUUCUUGGCUAAAUAUUCAGACCCCAAGUGCCAAGCAUGGGUUAGGUUACACAAUUUGAAUACAUUUGCAAAUAUAAGUGUCCUAUCAAGUUGAGGCAGAAAAAAGAGAAUAAGGAUAAGAAUGGUUAAGAGAGGAGCACCUGGGUUGGUUGGUUAAGUAUCUGCCUUCACCUCAGGUCAUGAUCCUCCGGAGGUUCUGGGAUAGAGUCCCUAUUGAGCUCCCUGCUCCUCAGGGAGCCUGCUUCUCCCUCUCCCUCUGCCCCCUCCUCCUGCUUGUGCUCUCGCUCGCUCACACUCUCUCUCUCUCAUGAAUAAAUAACAAAAUCUUAAAAAAAAAAAUGUUAAAAGAUGGCCAGCUAUCAAAAUUCCUACAUGAGAAUUUGGUAAGAAGUUAAGAUUCAAAAACAAACGAACAAAAAGAACAUUCACCCCCAGGCAGGAGAGUACCAAAGGAAGCAAUUUAUAUCUAUGGAAGUUCACUAACAUAUGGCACUUCAUUCUGCGAAUGUUUACUGUUAACAUUUAUUAUAACCGACAUAUUUUGUAAGUGCAAAACUAAGCACUAAGUCUUCUUAGACACCUUAUAAUCAUAACACACACACACACAAAAAAAACGAUUUAUCUUAACUACCACAUCACAUUUGAUAGAUCACAAAGUCUCACUUUUACCUGACUAGCUUCUCACCUAUUCCCCCCUCUUUCUGUUUGCACUCAUCUUGUCCUUAGACUAAUAAAAUGAUUUCUUAGUUGGUCACAACUUACUUCAUCCCUCAUAGAACUAUGAGGAAAACCUCUAUUCAACACUGAUUCUAUCCCAUCACUGCUCAGAGGACACUUGGGAUCCUCUAUAAUUUGGCCCCUUCUCUCUCCAGUCUUGGUACGAUGCCACUGCUUUUUCCAAAGCUGAUUCCUUGCCUCUCUGAGCCUGUUUCUUCAACUGUAAAAACAAGAAUGAUGGUAAUACCUACACUGCAGGGCAGUAAACGUUCAUGACGGUAACCCAUAGUAUAUCAGGAUUAAGUUUGAUGGCAUGUAACAGAACCCAAAUAACAGUGGUCUAAGUGAGAUUGAGGUGCAGAGGUGUGCAAUCCAAGGCUGAUACACUGGUUCCAUGGUCAUCAGGAACCAAGGUAGCAACUAAUGGACAAAGAAUAUUCUUAUCACUUCCCAGGUAUAAUUUUUUUAAUGUGAGCUCAUUGUCUCCUAGAUGUGAGCAGAGGUGUACAAUAUCUGUUCACUUAUAUUUGGGGUUUUUUUUUUUUUUUAAGAUUUUAUUUAUUUAUUUGUCAGCGAGAGAGCACAAGCAGGGGGAGCGGCAGGCAGAGGGAGAAGCAGGCUCCCCACUGAGCAGAGAUAAUGACCUGAGCUGAAGGCAAACACCAAACCGACUGAGCUACCCCGGUACCUCCGCCUUUUUUAUUUAUUUAUUUUGUUGUUGUUGUUAGAUUCUUAAACUUAGUUUAACUUUAAAAAGAGGGACUUCGAGAGCCAUUCUGCAAGCUCACCGAAGAGCCAGGAAUAUUGGACACGAUGCAGGGCUGCGCCCGUCACUGCCGCCGACUGCUGAGGGCGGCUCCGGGGGCUGCGCAAGUUCGGGCAAGCGCCACCAGAGGGCAGUGUGUGCUCAGCUCCCGGCCCGACUCACCGGACAGCACGGGAAGCCUCAGCAGUUCUCUCCAGCACCCCUUUUACCCUAACUCGGACCCUUGCCCGCCGAAAUCAGGUAAUAGUAUGGGAGAAACAAGAAACACCUUUGCGGAAAGCCUCUGGAUAACAAUGUCUACUACAGUAUUAAGAGCCAAUUUUGGACGAAGCCUCUCCUACUAAACUCGAGACUUCAGGGCACAAGUAAGUGUCUAGAAAUUUUUUUAAAAUAUGAGACAUAACCAUAAUUAAAAUAUGACAGUUCAUUAUUAAGAAGAGAGAUCCAUAACCUUGGUCCUUUCUUUCCUGGAAGCAUUCUUAAAACUGGCAUGUUUAAACCUCUUCAAACAAGUUGUAAAGGGAGAGUUAGGAUACCAUCCAUUUCUGUUUGGUAUUGGAAGAAAAGAAAAAGAUCCUGGAUGUGCUUGAAGGGGUUUUGUUGAUUUGUUUGUUUUCUCCUCAAAAUGAUCACAAAUCCCUCUUGAGUGUCCUAUUUUCUAGUCAAGGUUAGUGUUUUUGAAUAAUAAAAGUGAAGAAACUUCAGGUCUAGCAUUACUUUCAUAUUCAUGACCCAGAAAUUCAUAUGUAAAAGAAAACGAUUGUGAAUACGGCUUGGCUUAUCCAGACAAUUUCCUCCUCCUGCUUUCUUCUGAAUUGGGGCUCUCAGGUCAUUAUGAUUCAAAAUCCAGGAAGUGGAAAAAAGAGAAGCUCUGGAGGCUAAGCUGAUCUACACAAUAAAGAGUUGGAGAAAAUUGGGAAAGGAAAGAAAACCUUUGGAGAGUCGAUGAAAAGGGUGAUGUAGGGUCCAGUGCCCAUCCACCCUACAUCUGUUACCUGCUUAGGUAACUAUUUCUGUCCUCUCUCAACUGAGUCUUGCUCUGAAGGAUGUUCCUUCAAAUCAAGUAUACAGUAAUGUUUUUCUAAAGUGAAAUGAAAUUCACAAGUCACAUCCAAACUCGUGUUUAACCCUAACUUCUAGCAAGUGCUGCUAUAAAAAAGGCUGACAAUUCAGUUUAACUCCCUGCAAAAUACCUCUCACACUCUCUAGAGGAGAUGUUAACAUUACCAAGAAGCAAUCAGCUAAAGAGAGAAGACUUCAAGGAAUGUUUAUGGUCAAAAAAUAAUUCAGAAAGUAGAAAGUUUGGCACACACAGAGCGCUGAGAGUUCAAAUGAAGGAAAGAUGGUAAUCAUUUUCCCAGUUCACCAGAAGCUGGAAGAAAAAAUAAAUCCUGGAAAACAGUAACCAGGAUACAGAUGGCAGACAACACUGGGUAUUUACCCCAAAGAUACAGAUGUAGUGAAAAGAAGGGCCAUAUGCACCCCAAUAUUCAUAGAAGCAAUGUCCACAAUAGCCAAACUAUGGAAGGAGCCAACAUGCCCUUCAACAGAUGAAUGAAUAAAGAAGAUGUGGUUCAUAUCUACAAUGGAAUAUUACUCAGCCAUCAGAAAGGACAAAUACCCACCAUUUGCAUCGACACGGGUGGAACUGGAGGGAAUUAUGCUAAGUGAAAUAAGUCAAGCAGAGAAAGACAAUUUUCAUAUGGUUUCACUCAUAUGUGGAACAUAGGAAUAGCAUGGAGGACAUUAGGGGAAGGAAGGGGAAACUGAAGUGGGGGAAUAAGAGGACAGACGAAUCAUGAGAGACUAUGGACUCCGGGAAACAA